rnacentral:rRNA from 1 species
CCUACGGGGGGCAGCAGUGGGGAAUAUUGCACAAUGGGGGAAACCCUGAUGCAGCGACGCCGCGUGAGUGAAGAAGUAAUUCGUUAUGUAAAGCUCUAUCAGCAGGGAAGAAAAUGACGGUACCUGAGUAAGAAGCCCCGGCUAACGACGGGCCAGCAGCCGCGGUAAUACGUAGGGGGCAAGCGUUAUCCGGAUUUACUGGGUGGAAAGGGAGCGUAGACGGCAGUGCAAGUCUGGAGUGAAAGGCGGGGGCUCAACCCCCGGACUGCUCUUGAAACUGUACGGCUGGAUUGCAGGAGAGGUAAGUGGAAUUCCUAGUGUAGCGGUGAAAUGCGUAGAUAUUAGGAGGAACACCAGUGGCGAAGGUGGCUUACUGGACUGUAACUGACGUUGAGGCUCGAAAGCGUGGGGAGCAAACAGGAUUAGAUACCCGAGUAGUC